rnacentral:miRNA from 1 species
GUGGACACGCAAAGGGAGCUG